AGGGAGGGCGUGGAGUGUGACUCCCGAAAGUGCCCCAGGAGGAGACUGUAGUUGCCUUUGGGGACUCCUGAAUCCUAAGUGUCGUCACUAAAUUGGACUGAACUGGGAGCAGGCAAACCCCAGGGCGCACUGCACCGCAGACCUGAUGACAGGGAAUGCCCAGGCAAUGGACACAAACCCUCUGGGGCCUCCAUUCACCCUAGAAAGGAGGCUGAUUGUGAGAAUGCAAGAAUAAGCAUGUGAACUCAAUGGCUGCUCUCAUUCCCUGAGCAAGCCUGCACUGCUCCUUGUCCUGGGCAUGGGGCUUGGACCGAGAUGAUUGGGAGAGGGGCCCUGCCUCAUGAGGCUUGGGAAGGAGUUUCCACUGGGUUCAGUUCUGCAUGGUGUUGGGGCAAAGAGUAGGAGUAGUGCCUAUUCAGACUGGCCUCUUAGACCACACAUGCCAAGAUGAUGUCUACGGGCAGCUCCUCCGAACUUCUGGCUGUCACCUGCAUUGUUACUGUGUCCAAAAGCAGCAGCUGGGAGUGCACCAGGAUGUCAUGACCUCCCCAGAACACACCUAGAAGAGAAGGGAGUAGUACAAGUGUGCAAAGCAGAAGAGAGCUACACAGCGAGGCUGAGGACGGUGUUUGCAGCAACUGAUCAAGGCAGCUCUGGUGCAGUGAAAUGGGAGUGGGCCUGGAACCAGGAGAGCUGGGCUGAAAUCCCUGAGGCCUUGUGCAAGUCACUUUACCUCUCUGAGCUGCAGUAUCCUCAACUACAAAGUGGAGGAGAUAAUACUAAAAUUAUUUCAAGAUUCUGCCAAGCUCAAUUGAAUUAGUGGACAUAUAAGGCUUGUAUGUGGCGUUACAGAGCUUCUCACACAUUGACUGAAUCUAAGAGCACAGAUGAAGGGACAGCCCCACCAUGACAAAACCGCAGAGCAGGUGUCUGCAAGACCCGGGGGACUGGGCUUGGGGGCUGUCAGCUGUGAGCAGGCCACUGUAGCAGAGCGCUGUAGCAGAGCGCUGUAGCAGAGCUUCCUCCAACCCUGUUUAUAAACACAGCAAAAAGAAACUCCCCACUUCCUUUUGUUGGCUGUUUUAGGUGUGAUAACUGUAUUGCCCCCCCCCUUAAAUGAAAGGUCAUUAUCUCUUAAAGAAACAUACAAAUACAGAAACAUUUACAUAUAAAAUGCUUUAUCUGGAAUUUUCUCUAAAAUACUCAAAGUACUAUUUUUCUCUUUAUACCGUUUUUCUCCCACACUGACAAGAUCAUAAAAUCCGAUAAUAUACUGUAUUGUCCAGGGUGUGGGAGGAAAGGCAUACAAUUCCUAUGAAAGGCAACUGGAAAUAUUUAUAAAAAUGAGAAACGCACUUUGACCUGGUAAUUCCUUGGGAAAUUUAUCCUAUAGAUAUCCUCAGUGCACAUGUGGAAAAUAAAGUAUGUGUAUGUAUAUGUGUAUGUCUGAGAUUCUUCACUGUAGCCCUGUCUGUAAGAGGAAAAGACUGGAACAAUCUGAACAUUCAUCAAUAGUGCUGGUUCUAAGCUACAACAAGAAUGAGGAUUUGGUUUGGGAUGAUGAAAAAGUUCUGGAGAUGGAUGGUGGUGAUGAGCACAAUAGUGUGAAUGUACUCAGUGCCACUGAACUGCAUACCUACAAAUGGUUAAACUGGUAAACUUUA